UUGAUUUCAAAUGCAGUUAAAUUGCAAUUUCAGGGGCACUUCUAAAAUAUUUCGGAGCAUCCUCUGCCACUGGUCAGGAUGAGCCAACCACCUCCUCCGCUACCCAUAUGUCUCCACAAAUAUCUGAUAUUGAGGAUGAAGACCUCUUUGCCUCUACUUCUACCCAGCAUGAGCUUUCAGAAAUGCCUGGAGCUGAACCCCCACUGAGCCCCACUGGCCCUCACAUCUGACUGACAGGAUUCGGACUGAGCCGGUUCACAGAGGACCAAGUAAAGUGCCACCUGGCUUUGUUUUCCGUAGGAAUGAGAGUAAUGGGAGAAGUUGCCACCACUAAUAUUUUAAUAAGACAUUAGUAAGUGGUGAAAAGAUGGCAAGAAGUUGGCUGAUUUAUUCAAUUAAGAACAACAGCCUCUUUUGCUUCUGCUGCAAAUUGUUUUCCAAGAGGAACAUCAAUUUAACAAGUGCAGGAAUGGCAAAUUGGAAACAUGCAUGCAAUGAUCUCACAUCAUAUGAAAACAGUUGUUAUAAUAAAAUAUUGCUGUUUGUGCAGAA